UACAGAGGUCUCAAGCGUUGUUCGGAUUCAUUGGGCGUAAAGGGCGCGUAGGCGGUGGGGUAAGUCUGGUGUGAAAUCUCGGAGCUCAACUUCGAAAUUGCACUGGAUACUGCUCUGCUAGAGGGCUGGAGAGGAGAUCGGAAUUCACGGUGUAGCAGUGAAAUGCGUAGAUAUCGUAAGGAAGACCAGUGGCGAAGGCGGGUCUCUGGACAGUUCCUGACGCUGAGGCACGAAGGCCAGGGGAGCAAACGGG
rnacentral:rRNA from 1 species